ACUAUGGUCUGUGAGGAUGGCAAC
rnacentral:miRNA from 1 species